UAUGAGAGUGAUGAGUUGCACUAAUCAGUUGGGGUGUGUUGCAGUGGCAUCAACACUCCAACCUGACUCAACCUGAGGACACACGCUGUGCACAGGGGCCAUCUGACUCAAA